CGACAAAUAAAGAGUACUUCAAUAUUCAUUCAUUGAUAAUUAAAAACCAAACAUCAUAAGUUACACUGAUAAUUAAAAUUGCAAAUCAUAAGAUAGGCAUACAUAUACAUCCUAAAUUGAAUAUAAACAAAUUUCCUCUAAAACAUAACAUAUAUACACAACUGACACAAAAACGAGAUAAAGCUCUACAAAGGCAACAAUUGCCCUAAGUUCUGCCACCGACAUCCAACCAUAACUAGAAAAGUCACACGUCUAAGACCACGACCAAAGUGAACCAGACUACUAUUCAUAUCUCCUCACCUGUCAAAACAAUGUGUGGGUGUGAGCUAAUAAUCAACGUGCUCACAAUAGAUAAUUAAAUUCAUAAAGAAUAAUAUAGUAUCACCAUCCGCCAUAACUAUACAGAAAUAGAAUGCAUUUAUGCAAUAAUGCAUCACCCACAUGUGCGCGCAAGUUUAGAUAAUGUUGGCUCAAUGAUUGAUGGCUCGUUAUCAAGAAUGUCCUUACUGACACAUUCCUCAAAGAAUGCCCUACUGACACUUCCCUUAGGCUAGUCCCUCAUGACUAAACAUUCCUCUAUGCAAUGCGUUGGCAUACAACAUGCAAUGCCACCUCAUAUGUAUAUCAUCAUUAAUAAUAUAUCAAAGUCAAUCAAUUCAAUAUGAAUAAAACUAUCUGUAUUAUCCCCACCUGUUAUCGGCAGACAAAUACGAUCGAGUCACUCCUUUAGUUAUACCGGAGUAUGUUGACCCGCUUCCGAACCUAAUAAAAUAAAAGAUUAUCACCUAUAACAAAAUAAUUCAAACUAAUAAAUUCAAUUCUACAAAUUUAUAAUUCAAUUCGAUGGAUUCUCAUUAAAUGAUAGUAACUAUACCUUAUUAAAAUUUUAAGGCGAUCGGAUAUUUUUUCACCGUUGAUUGCAUAAAACACGCUCAUUAUCACUACUGAUUACCGCCUUAUGUAAUACAUCAUUUUAACUUUAUAAUUAAUCUAAAAUUACCCUAUAAUUGAAUUCAGAACACUGAAAAAAUAAAAAAUGACUAUUCACACGGCUAAAAACUCAUUCAAUUGACCAAUUUUUAAACAUCCUAUAAUCGAUAAGUUCGUAGGCUCGACCACACUGAAUAAUUUUCAAUUUGACAGCCAUUAAAGGUUCAUAACAACUCCGAACUGUUCUGUUAUCAAUUUUUUUUAAUUCCCAACUCUAAACCCACCUCUCUCUCAAUUCACCUUCCUCUCACUCAAGUCUCUAUUCUUCUUUCUUCUCAUGAUUCUCCUUUUUUUUUUUAAAUCGACAACAAUUCAAGCUCUAUUUAGCUCAAUGGCCAUGAAACCACCGAAGGAUCAAUGAAAUUUGCCCAAACUAUUUUAACCAGUAUGAAGCAACAACAAAACAACGACAAAGAAGAAGAUAAGGGUCAAAAAAACCCUUAUCCAAAUACACAUACACAAAAGAUUAACUAGAGAAAUUUGACUCUAUCAUGGUUGCAAAAACGAUUAUCUCUCUCAAAGACCAUCGGGGUUGCUCCACCAAAAAAAAGUUUGGAUUCUCAAUGCCUGAUUCAUGCUCUAAAAAAUAAUCACCGACUCGCCUUUUUUCUUCAUCUCUCUCUAAUUCGUAAAUUUCUUUCUAAGAAAGAAGAUAACAAGAAGCAACAGCUUCAAUUCUGC
rnacentral:lncRNA from 1 species